rnacentral:rRNA from 1 species
GACGAACGCUGGCGGCGUGCCUAACACAUGCAAGUCGAACGGUCCGGCACUCAACCGACCCUCAGUCUAGCUGUAGGUGAAGUUGAGUGCCGGAUAGUGGCGGACGGGUGAGUAACGCGUGGGCAACCAACCCUGUACAGUGGGAUAACACCGGGAAACCGGUGCUAAUACCGCAUGACACCUAGAUGGUGCAUACUGUUUAGGUUAAAGGAUUUAACCGGUACAGGACGGGCCCGCGUCCCAUUAGCUGGUUGGUGAGGUAACGGCUCACCAAGGCGACGAUGGGUAGCCGACCUGAGAGGGUGACCGGCCACACUGGGACUGAGACACGGCCCAGACUCCUACGGGAGGCAGCAGUGGGGAAUAUUGCGCAAUGGACGGAAGUCUGACGCAGCGACGCCGCGUGAGCGACGAAGGCCUUCGGGUCGUAAAGCUCUGUUCUUGGGGACGAAGGAAAUGACGGUACCCAAGGAGAAAGCCCCGGCUAACUACGUG